rnacentral:rRNA from 1 species
CUUGACUCUUAUAAGAGGUCCAGCCUGCCCAGUGACCAUGUUCAACGGCCGCGGUAUCCUAACCGUGCGAAGGUAGCGUAAUCACUUGUUCUUUAAAUGUGGACUAGUAUGAAUGGCACCACGAAGGUUAUACUGUCUCCUUUUUCUAAUCAGUGAAACUAAUCUCCCCGUGAAGAAGCGAGGAUAUAUUUAUAAGACGAGAAGACCCUAUGGAGCUUUAAACAACACAGCAAUUACCUACUAAACUACAAGGUUUCUGAACAUUUUUAAUCUUUUAAGUAAUCUGACUGCAAGUUUUUGGUUGGGGUGACCACGGAGCAUAACACAACCUCCAUGUUGAAAGAAUUUUUUUCUAAACCAAGAAUAACCUUUCUAAGCAUCAAUAUAUUGACAUCCAUUGACCCAAUACAUUUGACCAACGAAC